rnacentral:rRNA from 1 species
UUCCUACGGGACGCAGCAGUGAGGAAUAUUGGUCAAUGGCCGGAAGGCUGAACCAGCCAAGUCGCGUGAGGGAAUAAGGCCCUAUGGGUCGUAAACCUCUUUUGUCAGGGAGCAAAGGCGUCCACGUGUGGACGAGAGGAGAGUACCUGAAGAAAAAGCAUCGGCUAACUCCGUGCCAGCAGCCGCGGUAAUACGGAGGAUGCGAGCGUUAUCCGGAUUUAUUGGGUUUAAAGGGUGCGUAGGCGGUCCGGAAAGUCAGCGGUAAAAGCCCGGGGCUCAACCCCGGCGAGCCGUUGAAACUGUCG